GCAAUGUUAAACUACUCUGGAAAGCUAAAAAAACUGCUUUCAAGCAACGACCCUACAUCAGUGUGGAAAGGCCUGAAAGCCAUCACCAGCUACAAGACCCCAUCCCCCAGCACUGAGGCCAAUCAACAACUGGCUGAAGACCUGAACGAGUUUUAC